rnacentral:rRNA from 1 species
AUUGAACGCUGGCGGCAGGCCUAACACAUGCAAGUCGCACGAGAGCUUCGGCUCUAGUGGCGGACGGGUGAGUAAUGUCUGGGGAUCUGCCCGAUGGAGGGGGAUAACUACUGGAAACGGUAGCUAAUACCGCAUAAUGUCGCAAGACCAAAGCGGGGGACCUUCGGGCCUCGCACCAUCAGAUGUGCCCAGAUGGGAUUAGCUUGUAGGUGAGGUAAUGGCUCACCUAGGCGACGACCCCUAGCUGGUCUGAGAGGAUGACCAGCCACACUGGAACUGAGACACGGUCCAGACUCCUACGGGAGGCAGCAGUGGGGAAUAUUGCACAAUGGGCGCAAGCCUGAUGCAGCCAUGCCGCGUGUAUGAAGAAGGCCUUCGGGUUGUAAAGUACUUUCAGCGGGGAGGAAGGCAGUCGUGUUAAUAGCACGGCUGAUUGACGUUACCCGCAGAAGAAGCACCGGCUAACUCCGUGC